rnacentral:lncRNA from 1 species
UACUGGUCUGCCACGUUAUCAACUGUGCCUCCUUUGGCGAAGUCCACAUGAUUGAUUUACGACUUUUUGAUUAAUUUCAUGAUCCUGAAUGGAAGCAUCGAAUUGGAGUAGCUAAAGAGGCUUUUAGUUCUACCAAAUAAAAAAAUUCUACCAAACAAAAGGCUUUUACUUGGAAUUUGUGAGAAAAAAAAAGAUUUGCAGACUUUUUGGAGAUUGUGUUAUUGUGAAAUGUUUCAUCAUUUGCGGAUAUCAUUCGGCCGUUUCCCCCUUCAUCUUCUCCCCCAUCAUUAUCAUAUAGGAAUCCGGCAUUGGGAUCUUGGAUAGGUUCGGUUUAGUAACUUUGACCAGAUGCAGUUUAAACUUACAAAAAUUAUUUUAAUAUUUUUUUUGUCCACGAUCAAAAUCAAAAUUAGUAUUUAAAUUAAAAUAAAUUAAAAUGAGAAUCAAAAUAAUUAUAUUUUUCGACGUGCUUGAUUUACAGCUGAAAUUAGAAUUAAAAUAAAUUUUAAAUACUAAAAAAAAUUAAAAUUAAAUUUUAAAGAAUUAAAAUAUUUGGUUUUUUUUUUAAGAAGCGAAAUGAGAAUAAACAUGAGAUCCAUCCUCCUCCUCCACCCUUGUCGAUGCGACCCAUAUCCAAGUCAACCCACGUGCCUCCAGUUCGCAUCUUCUAUGGAUGGCAACCGUGUCUUUGGACUUCAACUGUAGAUGAUAAAUGGGAAGUGAGGGCAUCGAUAAACACGAAAUGCUGUGAGUUUCAACUCAUCUAGCCCGAUCUAUGUUUGAGUCUUGCAUACAUUAUUUUAAAAUUUAUCAUAAAUCUAUCAUCCUAAUGAAUUAGGUGGAGACUGAAAGUUGAAACCCCCUCAUGUUGUCCUAAAAAAAUCAAAAUAAAGAAGAGCGGCAAGAAGAAAAAGAAAAUAAGCACCAAAUGUUUAAUAUUCAAUUUGUACAAAUGCUGAAGUUUCAAAUUUCAAGUUAUAUGGCCAUGAUUGGAUCUUUGUAAUUUAGUUUUAUGAAAAACAACAAUUUUAUCUUUCAAUAUUGUGCUUUACUUAUAUGUAGCAUUUGUGUCAUUUAAUUUGCAUCAUUGCGCCAAGGAGGUAAAGUUUUCAUUUCUCCGGGAGUUUCUUCUUAUAUUCGUCUAAAGCUUAUUUUCUCCUUCGAUAAACUAAAGUUAAUGCUAGCUAAUUUUUAAUAUUAUGAUCCCCUCUCGCAUUAACCCCCUAGAUAACCCCCAAAUUUUUUUUAAGAAAAAUAAACUGGAAAUGGUAAGGUGUGAAAAAAUUUCAUGUAGAUAAAUAUAUAUCAUACUUGGUAGGAUCGCAGUUGCAAAUUACCCCGCUC